rnacentral:sRNA from 1 species
GGGAUAUAACUAUAUACAGAGAAUGGUCCCCUUUUUUUCCCUUGAGAAAAAGCAACAAAGAUUCUGCUGAUUCUGUUGUCUCCCACAUCACAUGUUGGCACAUGUCCAAUCACCUUGCCUAAUGCUUACUGUUGAAGGGUGUAGUUCAACCGAUAAACUUCAUCAUCUCUUUACUUUUUCCUCACAAGAGAAUAUGCCAUCAGAAAGUUCAAAUGCC